CAGGGAUCUAAUUUUUCAUUUUGAAGGGUUGCCACAUCACUUUCCCAAGCUUUUUAGAGCAUUGUGGGGCUUUAACAAGAUGUGUAUGCAAGGAUUGGGUGAAAUUCCAGUGCCCAUGUUUCCCGGGGAGUCUGUAAGAGGCUCUCUCCAUCCCCUUCUUACUCCUGCGUCCUGCAGAACACACACACAGUCACACAUUCUUUCACCAAACAUGGCCUCACUCUCACAAAACACUCACAAAAGUACACUGACAGUCACACAGGAUCACAAACAUGCACUAGAAAUCUGAAACACACAUAUCCAACCUCUCUCUGUGACAAAAAGACACUAUCCAUACACACACACACACACGCUCGUCUGCUCUGCUGAGUCACCAGUCUUGGGUCUCAGCCUCAGCACGUGUGGGGCCUGCCCUGUGGGAAGCUGUUGAACACAGAGGGAAGGGGAGGUUGCACUGUCCACCUCCUCAUUACCAUAAUGAUUGCGUUCAGCAUCCUUCAUUAGCACACAGGAGCACUAAGGGUUGGAGAGGACGUGCGUCAGCUCUACACACACAGCUGCUCACAUCACUUGACAUGUGUAUUUGCUGGGACACUUGGGAAUGAAAUGGCUUGUGCAAUUUAGUCUCGUGUCAGUCUUCAGCUUUAAGUUUCAAGUGAUCCUGCUCUUGCAAUAAAUACAAUGGAGAAAGCAGCUUUUCUUCAAGGACAUCUGAAAGCCACGCAAGAAAACAGCAUAGACUGGGCUCCCAAAUACAUCUACAUGGAUUUAAUGGACACGAUUUUAUACACGUGUCCUGGAAAAGUGCUGGCCACAAAGGAGAUGCCUGAUAAAGACUGUGGAAAAAAAUAUCUGAACAUACAGUCAUAAAAAAGAAGAGAGUUCCUGUAACUUGUGAAGGCAGUACAAGAAACCCAGAGUGGAUUCACGAGUGGUCCUCGUUUCAAAGUGCCUUUUCAUGCAAUCACUCUAUCUUUGAUAAGGAG
rnacentral:lncRNA from 10 species